rnacentral:tRNA from 1 species
GGGAAUGUGGCUCAGUGGCACAGCGCCUGCCUGGCAAGCAUGAGGUCAUGAGUUCAAUUCCUGAUGCCUA